rnacentral:lncRNA from 1 species
UCACCGGACUCUUGCCCAACUUAGGUGAACUCAAUCUCACAUAGUGUCACUUUAAUUAAAAUCAAUUAGACGUUGGCUCCUAGGGACAUUCGAGCUCAAUAGGACGAAGAUCACCGAAAGUUGCACCAAUUUCGCUUUGUGGCUUAGUUGAUGUCUAGGCAAGCUUUGUACCUAUAAGGAAGACAGUUCAUCUGUUCGAGGCAAGUGGGUUUUAAG